CCUACGGGCGGCAGCAGUGAGGAAUAUUGGUCAAUGGGCGCGAGCCUGAACCAGCCAAGUCGCGUGAGGGAAGACGGUCCUAUGGAUUGUAAACCUCUUUUGUCGGGGAGCAAAAGACGCCACGCGUGGCGUUCCGCGAGUACCCGAAGAAAAAGCAUCGGCUAACUCCGUGCCAGCAGCCGCGGUAAUACGGAGGAUGCGAGCGUUCGCCGGAUUUAUUGGGUUUAAAGGGUGCGCAGGCGGAAGAUCAAGUCAGCGGUAAAAUUGAGAGGCUCAACCUCUUCGAGCCGUUGAAACUGGUUUUCUUGAGUGAGUGAGAGGUAUGCGGAAUGCGUGGUGUAGCGGUGAAAUGCAUAGAGAUCACGCAGAACUCCGAUUGCGAAGGCAGCAUACCGGCGCUCAACUGACGCUCAUGCACGAAAGUGUGGGUAUCGAACAGGAUUAGAUACCCGAGUAGUC
rnacentral:rRNA from 1 species